rnacentral:lncRNA from 1 species
UUCUCGUGACCGUGGAAGAGUGAGUUGAUGUGAUUGGUGUACCUUCUUGAGUAUAUGCCUGAGAUAUCCAAUGCACAAUGUCCCCUCACAAUCCCCUCACACCAGCAAACACCCUGCCGUGACAGGUGGUGGUGGUCUUCCUUUUGUCUCCACUGUGUAGACAUGUUAACCCACUAUCUUCAGGCUUUUAGUCAUGCAGAGAAGAAGCCUGGUGUCAACUUAAGGCCAUUUGCCUUGUAAGUUAUUCUCCUUAGAUCUUGGUUUUUAAAGGUUUACUUUUUUCUUCUGAGAAUUCAAUAUUUCCAAAGAAAUUCAUCCUAUCUGGCACUUGAUAGCCCUUUUCAUUAGCAGAUCCAAAUCUUUCUUUUGGUUAGAUGUUCUAGCCAGGACCUUCCUGAUCCCAAACUUCACAACUUUUUAAAUUUACAGACUUAACCACUACCAUAGAUACAUAGGUAGGUAGGUAGGUAGGUAGAUAGAUAAUAGAUACAUAGUAGUGUGGAAGCCCAGAAGCAGGUUCACCUGGCACAAAACAAGAUCUGGUAGAUGUAGGGAGGGAGAAGAUGAAUUCAACUCAGGAGAGAAUGAGUAUAAGCAUCUACACUUAAAUAUUUUGCCAGUAUUGAUAGAUAUACCAACAGCAUUUUUCACUGCCCUCUUAACAAAUAAUAUUGAAUACAUCAUGCAAUAAGAGCAGAAUAUACAUUCUUCUCAAGCUCACAUGGGACAUUUACUAAGACAGACUACAUUCUGGGCCAUAAAACACAACUUACAAAGUUAAAAGAAUAGACAUCAUGCAAAAUAUGUUUUCAGACCACAAUGAAGCUAAACUAGAAUUAACAACAGAAAGAUACCUAGAA